rnacentral:tRNA from 1 species
AAAAUUUUAAGUUAUUUAAACUAUAAACUUUCAAAGUUUAUUAUACUUAAAAUAUAAGUAAAUUUUA